rnacentral:misc_RNA from 1 species
AAGUCGUAACAAGGUUUCCGUAGGUGAACCUGCGGAAGGAUCAUUACUAAAGUUUUCAGGCCCUUCAGGGUCGAACUUCCACCCAUCUGUUUACCUUACCACGUUGCUUUGGCGAGACGCCUUCGGGCCACCAGCUUUUUUGCGGGUGCGCGCUCGCCAGGGAAAACCUAAACCAUGUCAUUUAACGAAUAUCGUCUAAAAACAAGUUUAAUAUUAAAACUUUCAACAACGGAUCUCUUAGCUCUA